ACUAUUUUGGCAGAUUAAUGUGUUGGAUUUAGAAUUCAUUUAUGUAGAUUAAUUCUACAAAUAGUG
rnacentral:tRNA from 1 species